rnacentral:rRNA from 1 species
CGGACGGGUGAGUAACGCGUGAACAAUCUACCCUCGAGUGGGGAAUAACCCCGCGAAAGCGGGGCUAAUACCGCAUAACAUCCUCUUGUCGCAUGGUGGGGGGAUCAAAGGCGCAAGUUGCUCGGGGAGGAGUUCGCGGCUGAUUAGCUAGUUGGUGAGGUAACGGCCCACCAAGGCGACGAUCAGUAGCCGGCCUGAGAGGGCGUACGGCCACACUGGAACUGAGACACGGUCCAGACUCCUACGGGAGGCAGCAGUGGGGAAUUUUGCGCAAUGGGCGAAAGCCUGACGCAGCAACGCCGCGUGGAGGAUGAAGGUCUUCGGAUCGUAAACUCCUGUCAGUGGGGACGAAAGCCCGAAAGGGUUUGACUGUACCCGCUGAGGAAGCUACGGCUAACUCCGUGCCAGCAGCCGCGGUAAUACGGAGGUGGCAAGCGUUGUUCGGAAUUACUGGGCGUAAAGGGCGCGUAGGCGGCAUGGCAAGUCAGAUGUGAAAGCCCCGGGCUUAACUCGGGAAUUGCAUCUGAAACUGCUGUUGCUUGGGUCCUGGAGGGGGUAGUGGAAUUCCCAGUGUAGCGGUGAAAUGCGUAGAUAUUGGGAGGAACACCGGCGGCGAAGGCGGCUACCUGGACAGUGACUGACGCUGAGGCGCGAAAGCCAGGGGAGCAAAAGGGAUUAGAUACCCCUGUAGUC